UAGCUUAGGUUCUCGUCGCCAUUUUUUGCGAGAAUCUGACGAGAAGUUAAUUCAUGGAACCAGUAGACGACAAAGCGGAGAAGUGAAAUUUUGGAGCCGCAGCAUUAAUUGGGACCUCGACUUCCGUGCCAUACUGGGUUCAAGGACUGAAGACUAGAUGAGAACUUCAAUGUUUGGAGGAGACAGAACCACCCUCAACCAGGUCUUCUCCAGUGUUGCGAUUGAAGAGACCAUGACCAGAUCAACAGAGACAUGGAUUCGGGACCUAUUAACCCUAUUUGAGAAUGCGCAGGAGCUAUAUCCAGAUAUGUUGUGGAGGAUAGAAGGAGAACAUGAUUCUGUAGUAUGGGGUCAUAAAGCUCUGGUGUAUGCACGAGCAUCCAAAGAUUUCAGGAACACAUACUUGUGCAAUCAGUCCUCUGACUCGUUUCUUCAUGUUUUACCUGCCGAAACGAAUUACAUUCCAGUAAAACCAAUUAUAUCCACCCAUGAAGAUCGUAUUCCGCUGAAGUUGCGAAACAAGAGCGUCAUGUCCUAUGUGGCACCUCCUGGGACUGUUGGUUUGCUACGAGCAUUUUUGAAGUCUAUGUACGCAUCGGAAGGGAUGGGAGUCAUUUUCAAUUGGACAAGGGCCAGGGGACAGACCGAUAAGCCCCG
rnacentral:misc_RNA from 1 species